AACAUAAUUUCCACAUUAAUAUUGUAAAAAGCUGAAAAAUCAGAACAGUUCUGGUUUUGGUUUCUUUAUCCCCACCACCACUGGCAGAGGUUGGGAAAACUGUGAAGAAAGCUAGUAUUGUCUGCAGUUCUAGUUGAUCCUUACACAGUGGUAUAAAAAUCAUAAACUCAGUAUUAAGUUUCUCCAUGGAUUCUUUGUAAUAAUUGUAAACUGAGGUAUUGGUGAAUCCAUAUUAUGACUCCAUUAGUGAGCUGUGGUAUGGUUAGGGUUUUCCUACUACUUCGAUACUUUUAUCUGUAGAAUAUUUUUACUAAGGUGCUUUAUAAUGUGUUUUAAAGCAUUACAUAUACAAAAGGAGUAAAAUGCUGUAAAUACUGCUUAUUUUAUGUAUUUGGACCAAAAGGUUUAAAGUAACUAGUUUAAAGUGGGGUUUUUGCACCCGUUCUGUUAUGUGUGAAGUGAAAAACAUCGCAUCUACUUUGUGGUUGAGUUACAACUGUUGGACAUUGCUAAAAUGCACCUCAGUGACCUCUCUGACUUCAAUACCAGAAUGUUGUCCAGGGAUUCUCUUUGCAGAAAUGUAGUCUUCAUCCUUUUAUUAUGCUUGUUCUUGUAAUGAAAACAAAGGAGAUGGAAAAUGUCCUGUGAACCGAAUGUCUGCAGCCAAAAGCAACAGCCCGAUGACAGACAGGAUAGGGAGAGACUAUCAGAGUAAUUCAGAUCAGUUUACCUUCUUGAGUCUCCUUCAGAAUAUUCAGAAGAGCACCUCUAAGAGAGCAGAAGAAUUUAAAGAUGCAGGUGAUGGGCAAAGCUGGCUGCUGGGUGAACUCGUGCCUAUUGAAAGGCAGGAGCAAGUUACUCAUCAGACACAGAUGUUUUACCCUGCACGUGUGAAGCAAGUAGACUAA
rnacentral:lncRNA from 14 species